GACGAACGCUGGCGGCGUGCUUAACACAUGCAAGUCGAACGGAAAGGCCCUGCUUUUGUGGGGUGCUCGAGUGGCGAACGGGUGAGUAACACGUGAGUAACCUGCCCUUGACUUUGGGAUAACUUCAGGAAACUGGGGCUAAUACCGGAUAGGAGCUCCUGCUGCAUGGUGGGGGUUGGAAAGUUUCGGCGGUUGGGGAUGUACUCGCGGCUUAUCAGCUUGUUGGUGGGGUAGUUGCUUACCAAGGCUUUGACGGGUAGCCGGCCUGAGAGGGUGACCGGACACAUUGGGACUGAGAUACGGCCAAGAGUCAUACGGGAGGGAGAAGUGGGGAAUAUUGCAAAAAGGGCGGAAGCCUGAUGAAGCAACGCCGCGUGCGGGAUGACGGCCUUCGGGUGGUAAACCGCUUUAGCCUGUGACGAAGCGUGAGUGACGGGAAUGGGUAAAGAAGCACCGGCUAACUACGU
rnacentral:rRNA from 1 species